rnacentral:rRNA from 1 species
UACGGAGGGUGCAAGCGUUAAUCGGAAUUACUGGGCGUAAAGCGUGCGCAGGCGGUUUGUUAAGUCCGCUGUGAAAUCCCCGAGCUCAACUUGGGAAUUGCAGUGGAUACUGGCAAGCUGGAGUAUGGUAGAGGAAGGUGGAAUUCCCGGUGUAGCAGUGAAAUGCGUAGAGAUCGGAAGGAACACCAGUGGCGAAGGCGGCCUUCUGGACCAAUACUGACGCUCAUGCACGAAAGCGUGGGGAGCAAACAGG